rnacentral:rRNA from 1 species
UGAGUACGAGAUGCUACGGCAUCGAAGCAGUCUAUGUCAUACUUCCAAGAAAAGCUUGCACUGUCAUAAACAAAGAAUGCCUGUACCAUAACCGACACAGGUGGGUAGGUAGAGUAUACUAAGGGGCGCGAGAUAACUCUCUCUAAGGAACUCGGCAAAAUGACUCCGUAACUUCGGGAGAAGGAGUGCCUUAUUUCUAAGGUUGCAAUAACAAGAUCCAAGCAACUGUUUACCAAAAACACAGGUCUCCGCUAAGUCGUAAGACGAUGUAUGGGGGCUGACGCCUGCCCAGUGCCAGAAGGUUAAAGAAGUUGGUUAGCAUUAGCGAAGCUGAUAACUGAAGCCCUGGUGAACGGCGGCCGUAACAAUAACGGUCCUAAGGUAGCGAAAUUCCUUGUCGGGUAAGUUCCGACCCGCACGAAAGGCGUAAUGAUUUGGAUACUGUCUCGGAGAGGGGCUCGGUGAAAUAGACUUGUCUGUGAAGGUGCGGACUACCUGCACCUGGACAGAAAGACCCUAUGAAGCUUUACUGUAACUUGAGAUUGAAAUUGGACUUUAUUUGCGCAGUAUAGGUGGGAGGCGUUGAGAAUAAUCUUGCGGGAUUGUUGGAGCCAUCAGUGAGGUACCACUCUUGUAAUGUUAGAUUUCUAACUUUGUAUCAUUAUCUGGUCAAAGAACAGUUUCAGGCGGGCAGUUGACUGGGGCGGUCGCCUCCCAAAGGGUAACGGAGGCGCACAAAGGUUUCCUCUGAACGGGUAGAAAUCGUAUCUAGAGUGUAAAGGCAUAAGGAAGCUUGACUGUGAGACCUACAAGUCGAGCAGGGACGAAAGUCGGUCUUAGUGAUCUGACGGUGCUGAGUGGAAAGGUCGUCACUCAACGGAUAAAAGUUACUCUAAGGAUAACAGGCUGAUCUCCCCCAAGAGUUCACAUCGACGGGGAGGUUUGGCACCUCGAUGUCGGCUCAUCGCAUCCUGGGGCGGUAGUCCGUCCCAAGGGUUGGGCUGUUCGCCCAUGAAAGCGGUACGCGAGCUGGGUUCAGAACGUCGUGAGACAGUUCGGUCCAUAUCCGGUGUAGGCGUUAGAAUAUUGAGAGGAGCCUUCUCUAGUACGAGAGGACCGAGAAGGACAUACCUCUGGUGUACCAGUUAUCGUGCCAACGGUGAACGCUGGGUAGCUAUGUAUGGAGUGGAUAACCGCUGAAAGCAUCUAAGUGGGAAGCCCACCUCAAGAUAAGUAUUCUCA